UGUUAAAGUCAGGGAUCUAGAGAAGAAACAAUAUAGACUUAUCUGACAAAAAAGGAAAGCCAGGAGGAAUGACUGUUGUGCCAGGCAAGAGGAAAAAACUGAGGAGUCGCGGCUGCUUCACACAACUCUUUGUGGCUGCUUAGCAUCACAAGGACAUAGCCAUCCCAUUGGCUCCAGCAUCCCACAAAGUAAAUCAAAGAGUUACCCUCUUUAUUUCCCCAGAAUGCUUUUGGGUGCUAUGUUGACUCAGACUCAGAGGCAUUCUUAGAAAAUGGCUAUGGAGCACCUGAUAAACUUGGAGAGCGAGCCACCUGCAAGACUCCAUUCACUCUGAGAUCUCAUGUGUCCAUUCAUUGGCUGUAAGUGGCAAACUUACUUUCCUAUCAGAGGAAUUGUGUCCGGAAAGUACAUUUUGAAGAAAUCCAGCACUUGGUCUCCUGUUAUGAGCUUUUCAAAAUCGUCAAAAGGCAUGAAGAGAGUGCAUGUGAAUGACUUAUCCUAUGAAUUAAAAAGGAUGUUAGAACUUGAAAGAAGAGAUAUCACUGACAUACCCUGGAAAGUGGUGGGAUGUCUCAGCCUUCCCUGAAAUUAACCUCUGAUUUGAAACCACAACAGGAGCAUUCCUCUUCAAGGAUGGAGAAACAUUGCAACAUUAUGUUACAGGUCCUACUGGCUGCAAUUACUUUUAGAUGGAUGUGGGAUUUGUGUUCAUUAGGUUCAGCCUGUUGGCCUCUCAAGAGACAAUGAAGUGGGCCUCUGGAAGUGAAGACAAACUGUUGUUUUAGC